rnacentral:rRNA from 1 species
GAUGAACGCUGGCGGCGUGCCUAAUACAUGCAAGUCGAGCGAACAGAAGAGGAGCUUGCUCCUCUGACGUUAGCGGCGGACGGGUGAGUAACACGUGGAUAACCUACCUAUAAGACUGGGAUAACUUCGGGAAACCGGAGCUAAUACCGGAUAACAUGUUGAACCGCAUGGUUCAACAGUGAAAGACGGUCUUGCUGUAACUUAUAGAUGGAUCCGCGCCGCAUUAGCUAGUUGGUAAGGUAACGGCUUACCAAGGCAACGAUGCGUAGCCGACCUGAGAGGGUGAUCGGCCACACUGGAACUGAGACACGGUCCAGACUCCUACGGGAGGCAGCAGUAGGGAAUCUUCCGCAAUGGGCGAAAGCCUGACGGAGCAACGCCGCGUGAGUGAAGAAGGUCUUCGGAUCGUAAAACUCUGUUAUUAGGGAAGAACAAAUGUGUAAGUAACUAUGCACGUCUUGACGGUACCUAAUCAGAAAGCCACGGCUAACUACGUG